rnacentral:rRNA from 1 species
CCUACGGGAGGCAGCAGUGGGGAAUCUUAGACAAUGGGGGCAACCCUGAUCUAGCCAUGCCGCGUGAGUGAUGAAGGCCUUAGGGUUGUAAAGCUCUUUCAGCUGGGAAGAUAAUGACGGUACCAGCAGAAGAAGCCCCGGCUAACUCCGUGCCAGCAGCCGCGGUAAUA